AUUGAACGCUGGCGGCGUGCUUAACACAUGCAAGUCGAUCGGUAACAGGUGUAGCAAUACAUGCUGACGAGAGGCGGACGGGUGAGUAAUGCUUGGGAAUCUGCCUAUUAGUGGGGGACAACCCGGGGAACUCGGGCUAAUACCGCAUACGCUCUACGGAGGAAAGCCGGGGACCGCAAGGCCUGGCGCUAAUAGAUGAGCCCAAGUCGGAUUAGCUAGUUGGUAGGGUAACGCCUACCAAGGCGACAAUCCGUAGCUGGUCUGAGAGGACGACCAGCCACACCGGAACUGAGACACGGUCCGGACUCCUACGGGAGGCAGCAGUGGGGAAUAUUGGACAAUGGGGGCAACCCUGAUCCAGCGACGCCGCGUGGGUGAAGAAGGCCUGCGGGUU
rnacentral:rRNA from 1 species